UCUCCUCUUGUGGUUUGGUGACUAUCUUUUGUGUUGUCUUUGAGUUGGUUUUUCUUAUUUGUUUGUGUAUCAAUUGUAGAUUUUUGGUUUGCAGUUAUUCUGAAAUUUUGAAAUAAGAGUCUAUAUAUAUAAGAGAUUGUUUGAAGUUGUUGGUCUCUUAAUUGGAAGUGCAUCUGCAGUGUCCUGCAUUUGUACCCUCUUAUUCUCAUGAUUUCUGAUUUUGGUGGCAUAAUUGUGCAUGAAUGAUUUCAUAUCUUUACUGUAUGUAUACCUUUACUGGUGAGCCUUGUCCGUUGUGGUAUUUUUGUUUCCUAUUGCGGCCUUUUCUCUUCUGCCUAGAGAAGUUCCUUUAUAUUUGUUGUAAGGCUGGUUUAGUAUUGCUGAAUUCUCUCAGCUUUUGCAUAUCUGUGAAAGUUUUGAUUUCUCCUUCAAAUCUGAACGAGAGCCUUGCUGGGUAGAGUAAUCUUGGUUGGAGUUUUUUUCCUUUCAUCAUGUUAAGUAUAUCAUGCCACUCCCUUCUGGCCUGCAGAUUUUCUGUUGAAAAAUCUGCUGAUAACCUUAUCGGGGUUCCCUUGUAUGUUAUUUGUUUCUUUUCCCUAGCUGCUUUCAAGGUUUUCUCUUUGUCUUUAAUUUUGGUCAAUUUGAUUAAUAUGUGUCUCGGGGUGUUCCUCCUUGGGUUUAUUUUAUAUGGUACCCAUUGUGCUUCCUGGAUUUGAGUGAGGGAUUCUUUCCCCAUGUUAGGGAAGUUUUUGGCUAUUAUCUCCUGGAAUAUUUUUUCUGUCUCCUCUCUUCUGCUUCUGGCACACCUAUAAUAUGGAUGUUGGUGCAUUUAAUGUUGUCCCAGAGUUCUCUGAGACUCUCUUCAUUUGUUUUCAAUCUUUUUUCUCUUUUCUGUUCUGCAUCCGUAAUUUCCAGUAAUCUGUCCUCCACCUCACUUAUUCGUUGUUCUGCCUCUUGUAUUCUGCUGUUAGCUGCUUCUAGUGAAUCUUUUAUUUCAGUUAUUGUAUUUUGCAUCUCUUCUUGUUUAAGUUUUCUAUCUUGUAUCUCUUUGCUCAGUGUUUCCUGU
rnacentral:lncRNA from 1 species